CGUCCCGCCGGCGACCGGCGCACGGGUGAGUAACACGUAUGCAACCUGGCCGCCACAGGGGAUAACCCGCGGAAACGCGGCCUAAUACCCCGUGACGCCACCGGAGGGCAUCCUCCGGUGGCCAAAGGAGCGAUCCGGUGGCGGAUGGGCAUGCGGCGCAUUAGCUAGACGGCGGGGUGACGGCCCACCGUGGCGACGAUGCGUAGGGGUUCUGAGAGGAAGGCCCCCCACACUGGGACUGGGACACGGCCCAGACUCCUACGGGAGGCAGCAG
rnacentral:rRNA from 1 species